UACGGAGGAUCCGAGCGUUAUCCGGAUUUAUUGGGUUUAAAGGGUGCGUAGGCGGCCCUGUAAGUCAGCGGUGAAAUCCCAGGGCUCAACCCUGGAACUGCCGUUGAUACUGCAGGGCUUGAGUUCGGUUAAGGCGGGCGGAACUGGUGGUGUAGCGGUGAAAUGCAUAGAUACCACCAAGAACCCCGAUUGCGUAGGCAGCUCGCUGAGCCGAAACUGACGCUGAGGCACGAAAGCGUGGGGAGCGAACAGG
rnacentral:rRNA from 1 species